rnacentral:rRNA from 1 species
AGUGAACGCUGGCGGCGUGCCUAAUACAUGCAAGUCGAACGGAGUGGCGCACGGGUGAGUAAUAUAUAGCUAAUCUGCCCCUUGCUGGAGGACAACAGUUAGAAAUGACUGCUAAUACUCCAUAGCAAGGGAGGAGUCUAUAUCGUAUCAGCUAGUCGGUGGGGUAACGGCCUACCGAGGCUAUGACGCGUAACUGGUCUGAGCGGAUGCGCAGUCACCUUGGAACGGAGGCACAGGCGAAACUCCUACGGGAGGGAGCGGUAGUGAGUAGUGCGCAAGCGGGGAAUCCCUGAAGCAGCAACGGCGCGUGAAGGAUGACACUUGGCGGAGAGGAAACUCAUUUUGUUAGGGAAGCGGUACCUAACGAAUAAGCACCGGCUAACUCCGUGCCAGCAGCCGCGGUAAUAC